CAUGCAAGUCGAGCGAGGAACUUCGGUUCCUAGCGGCGGACGGGUGAGUAACACGUGGGUAACCUGCCUCAUAGAGGGGAAUAGCCUCCCGAAAGGGAGAUUAAUACCGCAUAACACUGCGGUUUCGCAUGAAACUGCAGUUAAAGGAGCAAUCCGCUAUGAGAUGGACCCGCGGCGCAUUAGCUAGUUGGUGAGGUAAAGGCUCACCAAGGCCACGAUGCGUAGCCGACCUGAGAGGGUGAUCGGCCACAUUGGAACUGAGACACGGUCCAGACUCCUACGGGAGGCAGCAGUGGGGAAUAUUGCACAAUGGGCGAAAGCCUGAUGCAGCAACGCCGCGUGGAGGAUGAAUGCCUUCGGGUUGUAAACUCUUGUCUUCUGGGACGAUAAUGACGGUACCAGAGGAGGAAGCCACGGCUAACUACGUGCCAGCAGCCGCGGUAAUACGUAGGUGGCGAGCGUUGUCCGGAUUUACUGGGCGUAAGGAUGCGUAGGCGGAUAUUUAAGUGGGAUGUGAAAUACCUGGGCUUAACCUGGGUGCUGCAUUCCAAACUGGGUAUCUAGAGUGCGGGAGAGGAAAGUGGAAUUCCUAGUGUAGCGGUGAAAUGCGUAGAGAUUAGGAAGAACACCAGUGGCGAAGGCGACUUUCUGGACCGUAACUGACGCUGAGGCAUGAAAGCGUGGGGAGCAAACAGGAUUAGAUACCCUGGUAGUCCACGCCGUAACGAUGAAUACUAGGUGUGGGGGGAUCGACCCCCUCCGUGCCGCAGUUAACGCAAUAAGUAUCCCACCUGGGGAGUACGGCCGCAAGGCUGAAACUCAAAGGAAUUGACGGGGGCCCGCACAAGCGGUGGAGCAUGUGGUUUAAUUCGAUGCAACGCGAAGAACCUUACCAGGGCUUGACAUCCCCUGCUACCUAUCGAAAGAUGGGGUUCUCUUCGGAGACAGGGAGACAGGUGGUGCAUGGUUGUCGUCAGCUCGUGUCGUGAGAUGUUAGGUUAAGUCCUGCAACGAGCGCAACCCCUAUCUUUAGUUGCUAACACUUCGGGUGAGCACUCU
rnacentral:rRNA from 1 species